AGGGAAUCUUCCGCAAUGGACGCAAGUCUGACGGAGCAACGCCGCGUGAGUGAAGAAGGAUUUCGGUUCGUAAAACUCUGUUGUUAGAGAAGAACAGCGCAUAGAGUAACUGAUAUGCGUGUGACGGUAUCUAACCAGAAAGCCACGGCUAACUACGUGCCAGCAGCCGCGGUAAUACGUAGGUGGCAAGCGUUGUCCGGAUUUAUUGGGCGUAAAGCGAGCGCAGGCGGUCAAUUAAGUCUGAUGUGAAAGCCCCCGGCUCAACCGGGGAGGGUCAUUGGAAACUGGUUGACUUGAGUGCAGAAGAGGAGAGUGGAAUUCCAUGUGUAGCGGUGAAAUGCGUAGAUAUAUGGAGGAACACCAGUGGCGAAGGCGACUCUCUGGUCUGUAACUGACGCUGAGGCUCGAAAGCGUGGGUAGCAAACAGGAUUAGAUACCCUGGUAGUCCACGCCGUAAACGAUGAGUGCUAAGUGUUGGAGGGUUUCCGCCCUUCAGUGCUGCAGUUAACGCAUUAAGCACUCCGCCUGGGGAGUACGACCGCAAGGUUG
rnacentral:rRNA from 1 species